GAGUGAACGCUGGCGGCGUGCUUAACACAUGCAAGUCGAACGCGAAAGUGUAGCAAUACAUGAGUAGAGUGGCGAACGGGUGAGUAAUAUGUGGGUAAUCUAGCUUUCAGAGGGGGAUAACCCGGGGGAAACCUGGGCUAAUACCGCGUAACAUUUUGUGCACUAAAGGUGUAUAAAAUCAAAACAUGGCCUCUAUUUAUAAGCUAUGGCUGGAAGAUGAGCCCCACAGCCUAUCACGCUUGUUGGUGGGGGUAAAGGCCCACCAAGGCGACAACGGGUAGCCGGCCUGAGAGGGUGUCCGGCCACACUGGAACUGAGACACGGUCCAGACUCCUACGGGAGGCAGCAGUGGGGUAAUUUUUCG
rnacentral:rRNA from 1 species